UACACUCCUGCGGGAGGCAGCAGUGGGGAAUAUUGCACAAUGGGCGCAAGCCUGAUGCAGCCAUGCCGCGUGUAUGAAGAAGGCCUUCGGGUUGUAAAGUACUUUCAGCGGGGAGGAAGGCGAUAAGGUUAAUAACCUUGUCGAUUGACGUUACCCGCAGAAGAAGCACCGGCUAACUCCGUGCCAGCAGCCGCGGUAAUACGGAGGGUGCAAGCGUUAAUCGGAAUUACUGGGCGUAAAGCGCACGCAGGCGGUCUGUCAAGUCGGAUGUGAAAUCCCCGGGCUCAACCUGGGAACUGCAUUCGAAACUGGCAGGCUAGAGUCUUGUAGAGGGGGGUAGAAUUCCAGGUGUAGCGGUGAAAUGCGUAGAGAUCUGGAGGAAUACCGGUGGCGAAGGCGGCCCCCUGGACAAAGACUGACGCUCAGGUGCGAAAGCGUGGGGAGCAAACAGGAUUAGAUACCCCUGUAGUCCCA
rnacentral:rRNA from 1 species